rnacentral:rRNA from 2 species
GGGGAGAGGAAAUUGUUUCCUCGAGUCGUUGAUUUCACACUGCCGAGAAAAGCCUCUAGCUAGAUUUAUGGUGCCCGUACCGCAAACCGACACAGGUAGUCAAGAUGAGAAUUCUAAGGUGAGCGAGCGAACUCUCGUUAAGGAACUCGGCAAAAUGACCCCGUAACUUCGGGAGAAGGGGUGCUCUUUAGGGUUCACGCCCAGGAGAGCCGCAGUGAAUAGGCCCAAGCGACUGUUUAUCAAAAACACAGGUCUCUGCUAAACCGUAAGGUGAUGUAUAGGGGCUGACGCCUGCCCGGUGCUGGAAGGUUAAGAGGAGUGGUUAGCUUCUGCGAAGCUACGAAUCGAAGCCCCAGUAAACGGCGGCCGUAACUAUAACGGUCCUAAGGUAGCGAAAUUCCUUGUCGGGUAAGUUCCGACCCGCACGAAAGGCGUAACGAUUUGGGCACUGUCUCAACGAGAGACUCGGUGAAAUCAUAGUACCUGUGAAGAUGCAGGUUACCCGCGACAGGACGGAAAGACCCCGUGGAGCUUUACUGUAGUCUGAUAUUGAAAUUCGGUACAGCUUGUACAGGAUAGGUAGGAGCCUUAGAUACGUGAGCGCUAGCUUACGUGGAGGCGUUGGUGGGAUACUACCCUCGCUGUAUUGGAUUUCUAACCCGCACCAUUAAUCAUGGUGGGAGACAGUGUCAGAUGGACAGUUUGACUGGGGCGGUCGCCUCCUAAAGAGUAACGGAGGCGCUCAAAGGUUUCCUCAGAAUGGUUGGAAAUCAUUCAUAGAGUGUAAAGGCACAAGGAAGCUUGACUGCGAGACUUACAAGUCGAGCAGGGUCGAAAGACGGACUUAGUGAUCCGGUGGUUCCGCAUGGAAGGGCCAUCGCUCAACGGAUAAAAGCUACCCCGGGGAUAACAGGCUUAUCUCCCCCAAGAGUUCACAUCGACGGGGAGGUUUGGCACCUCGAUGUCGGCUCAUCGCAUCCUGGGGCUGUAGUCGGUCCCAAGGGUUGGGCUGUUCGCCCAUUAAAGCGGUACGCGAGCUGGGUUCAGAACGUCGUGAGACAGUUCGGUCCCUAUCCGUCGUGGGCGUAGGAAAUUUGAGAGGAGCUGUCCUUAGUACGAGAGGACCGGGAUGGACAUACCUCUGGUGUACCAGUUGUCGUGCCAACGGCAUCGCUGGGUAGCUAUGUAUGGACGGGAUAAGUGCUGAAAGCAUCUAAGCAUGAAGCCCCCCUCAAGAUGAGAUUUCCCAACUUCGGUUAUAAGAUCCCUCAAAGAUGAUGAGGUUAAUAGGUUCGAGGUGGAAGCAUAGCGAUAUGUGGAGCUGACGAAUACUAAUCGAUCGAAGACUUAAUCAAAUU